rnacentral:rRNA from 1 species
AUUGAACGCUGGCGGCAGGCCUAACACAUGCAAGUCGAACGGUAGCACAGAGAGCUUGCUCUCGGGUGACGAGUGGCGGACGGGUGAGUAACGUCUGGGAAACUGCCCGAUGGAGGGGGAUAACUACUGGAAACGGUAGCUAAUACCGCAUAACGUCGCAAGACCAAAGUGGGGGACCUUCGGGCCUCACACCAUCGGAUGUGCCCAGAUGGGAUUAGCUAGUAGGUGGGGUAAUGGCUCACCUAGGCGACGAUCCCUAGCUGGUCUGAGAGGAUGACCAGCCACACUGGAACUGAGACACGGUCCAGACUCCUACGGGAGGCAGCAGUGGGGAAUAUUGCACAAUGGGCGCAAGCCUGAUGCAGCCAUGCCGCGUGUAUGAAGAAGGCCUUCGGGUUGUAAAGUACUUUCAGCGAGGAGGAAGGUGUUGUGGUUAAUAACCACAGCAAUUGACGUUACUCGCAGAAGAAGCACCGGCUAACUCCGUGCCAGCCGCCGCAGUAA